rnacentral:lncRNA from 1 species
GAGCUUUUUGGGACACACCCACUGAAUGACAGUCCUCCUCUCACUAUGACUCUGACUAUGAGAGAGAGAGAGAGACCAGUGAGAGAGACCAGAGAGAAAGAGAGCGAGAGACCAGAGAGAAAGAGACCAGAGAGAGAGAGACCAGAGAGAAAGAGAGCGAGAGACCAGAGAGAGAGAGAGAGAGAGACCAGAGAGAAAGAGAGACCAGAGAGAGAGAGAGAGAGACCAGAGAGAAAGAGAGAGAGAGAGAGACCAGAGAGAGAGAGACCAGAGAGAAAGAGAGCGAGAGACCAGAGAGAGAGAGACCAGAGAGCGAGAGACCAGUAGUGCACUAUGCACUAUGCACUAGCGAGAGACCAGAGAGAAAGAGAGAGAGAGAGACCAGAGAGUGAGAGACCAGAGAAGAGAAAGAGAGCGAGAGACCAGAGAGAGAGAGACCAGAGAGCGAGAGACCAGAGAGAGAGAGAGCAAGAGACCAGAGAGAAAGAGAGCGAGAGACCAGAGAGAAAGAGAGCGAGAGACCAGAGAGAAAGAGAGAGAGAGACCAGAGAGAAAGAGAGCGAGAGACCAGAGAGAAAGAGACCAGAGAGCGAGAGACCAGAGAGCGAGAGACCAGAGAGCGAGAGACCAGAGAGCGAGAGACCAGAGAGAAAGAGAGCGAGAGACCAGAGAGAAAGAGAGAGAGAGAGAGAGACCAGAGAGCGAGAGACCAGAGAAAGAGAGCGAGAGACCAGAGAGAAAGAGAGCGAGAGACCAGAGAGAAAGAGAGCGAGAGACCAGAGAGAAAGAGACCAGAGCGAGAGACCAGAGAGAAAGAGAGCGAGAGACCAGAGAGAAAGAGAGCGAGAGACCUGAGAGAGAGAGACCAGAGAGAGAGAGACCAGAGAGCGAGAGACCAGAGAGCGAGAGACCAGAGAGAGAGAGAGAGCAAGAGACCAGAGAGAAAGAGAGCGAGAGACCAGAGAGAAAGAGAGCGAAAGAGAGAGAGACCAGAGAGCGAGAGACCAGAGAGAAAGAGAGCGAGGGACCAGAGAGAAAGAGAGCGAGAGACCAGAGAGAAAGAGAGCGAGAGACCAGAGAGAAAGAGAGGGAGAGACCAGAGAGAAAGAGACCAGAGAGAGCGAGAGACCUGAGAGAGAGAGACCAGAGUGCGAGAGACCAGAGAGUGAGAGACCAGAGAGCGA